UUCUCACCACAGACUCGUGGACGGCUUGACACCAGCAUUUCCACUCCUCUUCGGGGGGGCCGGCAAAUAAUGGAGUCGCUGUUUCCAGUUUGACUUCGAGGAGCCAUCAAAUCCCCAUGAUGUCAAUUAUCUAGUCAACGGGUCUGAGAUCGAUUGAGCACCCUGCAAACCUCGAUGUUUUUGAGCCCCUUCACGGGGAGCUCGACGGAGAGAGUGGGGUGGCUUAAGUCACUAUAUUCCAAAUCUUUUCGCAGAUGCCGUCGGCAGGUGAUGCUAAAGACUCACCAUGGUGAAUACAGUU
rfam:Pseudogymnoascus pannorum VKM F-4246 contig_3682, whole genome shotgun sequence.